GGUUGUAGCUCAGUGCCAGAGCAUCUGCCUUGCAUGCAGAAGGUCCCAGGUUCAAUCUCUGGCAGCAUCU